AACGAACGCUGGCGGCAUGCCUAACACAUGCCAGUCGAACGAGAUCUUCGGGUCUAGUGGCGCACGGGUGCGUAACGCGUGGGAAUCUGCCCUCAGGUUCGGAAUAACCAUUGGAAACGAUGGCUAAUACCGGAUGAUGACGUUAAGUCCAAAGAUUUAUCGCCUGAGGAUGAGCCCGCGUAGGAUUAGCUAGUUGGUGUGGUAAAGGCGCACCAAGGCGACGAUCCUUAGCUGGUCUGAGAGGAUGAUCAGCCACACUGGGACUGAGACACGGCCCAGACUCCUACGGGAGGCAGCAGUGGGGAAUAUUGGACAAUGGGCGAAAGCCUGAUCCAGCAAUGCCGCGUGAGUGAUGAAGGCCUUAGGGUUGUAAAGCUCUUUUACCCGGGAUGAUAAUGACAGUACCGGGAGAAUAAGCGCCGGCUAACUCCGUG
rnacentral:rRNA from 1 species